AGCAUGCCACCACUUAUUGACCGAACCCUUCUCCGAGCAAGAGUGCCACCAAUCCCUAGAUUUCAUCAUCUCGAAUAUGACCGACCUCCUUCCUUAUACACCUCUACAUCACUUGGCCCUAAUAACCAUAAACCCUUAACUGUAUCUAUUUUCAAGAUCACACAAAAUCAACUUAAUACCCUAAAAGCCAAGUCAUGGGAACAUGGAAACAAAACCAAUUGCAGCACCUUCACCAUUCUAGCUGCAUACAUAUGGCACUGUGAAACUAAAGCUUGGGGCCUCUCAUAUGAUCAACCAACCAAGUUACACAUGCCAACUAAUGGACGCCCCAGACUACAUCCUCCCCUCCCAUCAAUGUACUUGGGCAACGCAAUGUUUGUAGCUUCAUUAAUUGCUCUAUCUGGAAAUCUCCAAUCAGAACCGUUUGUAAAUACCCUAGAACGAGUUCAUGGAACAUUGCAAAGGAUGAAUAAUGAGUAUCUAAGAUCAGCUCUUGACUACCUAGAAACACUGCCAGAUAUAACAAUUGCCAGGAGAACACCGGACACUUACCAUUGCCCAAACCUAAGUAUCAACAAAUGGACACAACUGUCUUUAUAUGAUGCAUAUUUUGGAUGGGGUCGACCAAUAUACAUGGGUCCAACAAACGUUGUCCAUGAAGGAAAAAUAUGUAUACUACCAAGUCCAACCGAUGAUGGGAGCUUGUCAUUGGUAACAUGCCUACAGACUGCUCAUAUGAAACUCUUCGAGAAACAUCUAUACGAAGGCUUGAAGUCAUUUGACAAGAUCAAAGCUCGAUAUUAGUUGUUUGUUCUCUCUAUCAAUAUAUGUAUAAACCUAUAAAUCUUCUACUUCUGUUUCUUUAACUAAGACUUUUUGUUUGGAUCCUGUUUAUUUGAAAUUUACCAUCUAAGUUGGCCUGGCAAACAGGUGUUUUAUUGGUAAUUAUUGUACUAUACCUCAAUAAUAGUAAUAGCAUUGAUCGCAAAGAAAUAAUAAAUUAAAAUAAGAAUACACAGAUUUUACGUGGAAAAGUCUUAUUAGAAAAAAAAUCACAGGCAGAGUAAAAAUUUACUAAUGUUGAAAAGCAACAAUACAAGAAGUUUUUUUACUACACACGUUUUAACGGUUAAAUAACAUUUUUAUAAUCAAUGUCUAAUAGAAGAUCGCUCCCACAUAUCCCCCAAAUUUGCAAUUCUAUUUUAUUUCUUUAACAAACAAGUUGCACCUCGAAUUUUUCUGACUGGAUCAAACGGGGUUCAAAUCAAACAGCUCUGACAACAACUCAAAUUAUUUUUCCAUAACCAUAUUAAAACAAAUACCGAAUAAUUGAAAUAUAUUCAAAAUUUUAAAUUAAAUUAAGUUUGGAUCAAACUCACUGAUGAUAUAUGAUUUACCUAAAGUGAAAUAAGAACUCGAAAAUAUAAAAUUUAUGGGUAAAUUUUCGUUUUGGUCACUUAAUUAAAAAAUUAUAAUUUGGUUAUUAAACUAUUCAAAAGUUUUAUUUUAAGUCAUUGGAUUGUUAAAAUUUAUAUUAUACGACUUUCUCUAUUCGCAGUGCAUGCAUCAAUUGAAAGCUCUCUUUUUCCUUCAUUUUUACAGUUCAUUUUCUAUUUUUAUGUAAAAACUUUGGACGUCAUAAAUCUGUAGACCAAAAUUUAAACAUUUUUUGCUCUGAUUUCCAACAUCGACCAUCAAAUCAAUUUAGAUCUAAGGUAUAUUUUUCUACUCAUUAAUGGAAUAAUGGGUAUCGAUCCAUCGUAUCGAUUGUUGACACCAUUUUUUGGAUGAAAACGGAGUCGACUUGGGUUUGAAAAUGAAAACGAAAAACAAGGUGUCGCGACCGAUCCUUUUUGAUGAGGUGUGAUCGGGUCACCUCGUAAAAGUGGUUGUUUUUAAUAAACGGUUUAAUUUUAUUAAAACAACGAGUUUGGUCCACGAAAUUUAGAAAAACAGGUUCGGGAGUCGGUUACGCACGAGGAAGGAUUAGCACCCUCGAUACGCCCAAAAUUGGUACCCAGUUGAUUACUUAAUGUCUUAAUGUCGAAAAUUGAAAACUUUGAAGAAUUUUAAAAAAUACGAUCCUUGUAUUAAAACGUUGAAAAUUUUCAAGAAAAUGAGGAUAUUUCACGUUAUUCGAGAAAGAGAAUCAUAUCCAGUAAGUUAGGACACAAUGUCUCGAAUUUCCGAUACGCGAAUGAAAAAUGCUUAUUUAAAAGAUAUUUAGCUAUCUCGGAUUUAAAAAAGAGAUCACGACCAGUAAGUUAGAACACGAUCUUUUUUAUUCCCGAGAUCAUUUAAAACUUAAGUUUGAAAAGAUUCGUGUAAUAAAGUUUAAAAGAAUAUUCAAUUGUUUAAAUCAAAUGAAGAAAUUGCAACCCAAUACGUUAGAGCACAAUUUCUCAAAAUAUUAAACACUGAAUAUUGCAUUUAUUUCGAAAAAUCCUCGUCUCGAGGAACCACGUGUCAUGUCCAAUGCAUUAGGACGCAACGUAUUCAAUUCUUGAUAACGAACUUUUUAUCAUUUUUUUAAAAGAGUAAUCUCGAUUAUUUAAGUUCAACGAAGAAAGUCGGAACCCAAUACGUUAGGGCUCGAUUCUCUCGAAGAUCCAAAAUAACGAAUAUUACUUAUUUCUAAAAUUUCUUUUUCGAAAUCUAAAUAAAAAUGGGUGUAAUGGAUUAACGAUGAUAAUAAUGUAAGUAAAAUAAUAAUAUGAGCAAUAGCAUCAAAGAUAAGAUAAAAUAAAAAAGGACAAAUCAAUAGCAUACAGAAUAAAUAUAUAAGCAAAUAAAGUUAAAGCAUUCGUUUAAAAUAAUAAUGAAAAUGUAAAUAAAGAGAUAAACAAAAAAUGAACAAAACUAUAUAAAAAAUAAAAGAUAUAUAUAUUAUAUGCAUAAAUACAUUUGUACAAAAAAAAGGAUAUGUAAGUUGAAAUAUAGAAAAAUAUACGUAAGAAAAAAAUAGGUUUUUAAAACAUAAAAAGUAUGUAUAAAUAUGUUUAUAUGUAAUAAAAACACGUAUGUAUAUAUGAAAUACAACAAUAAUAAAGUAUAAAUAUGUACAUUUAUAUAAAUGGAAAAAGUAGAUAUGUAUAUGUAUAUAUAUAUUAUAAAGCAUAAAAAUAAGUAUUUAUAUAAAUAAAAAUUCGUAUGUAUAUACAUAUAUAUUACAUAAAGAUAAAAGGUAUAAGUAUGUAUAUUAUAAAAUAAAACCGUGCAAGUAUGUACAUAUAUAGAUGAAUUAUAAAGUAAGUAAAAUAUGAGUAUGUAUAUAACAAAGUCUAAAACGGUAUAAAUAGGUAGAUCAAAUGCAAUAAUAAUAAUAAUAAUAAUAAAUUAAAUAAUAAAAAGGGCUAAAUUGAAAACAAAACAAAAUAAGAGAGGAAAAAAAUCAAAAAUGAAAAGAAGUCAAGGAUUAAUCCGUGACGCGCUUGAAAGGAGAGGGACCGAGGCUGCAAAUAAACCGAAGCCCCCAAAACGCAGCGCAGCAGUGGACUAAAUUGAAACAAAAAUAAAACUUUGUGGCCAAAUUAAAAAUAAAAGAAAAUGCGAAAAGGGGCCAAAUUGCGACACACUUCAAAGUCAGAGGGACUGCGUGCGCAAAUAUCCCCUUUAGCGAAAACACGCUGAUCCUCCCCUCGGGUCGGAUCACCGCGCGGGUCAAGGGAGCCUUAAACGUCGCCGUUUUGAAAUUCCUAUAAAAGCUAAUUUUUUUCUGCUAUUUCAUUUCUUAAAAAAAAACAUAAGAAAAAACAAAAGGGUCUUCCCCUUUCUCUGCUAGGGUUCCAAACUUGGAACCCCGCCGCCGUCUGCCGCAUCUCCAUCGCAGCGCCACCAAGGACGGUGGCCGGAGUCGUGCGAGAAAAAGGGAUUUUUAACCCUCAUCGUGUGGCAUCCUUGAGAUCUCAGAUCUCUCAACCCGCGGGAAAGAGGGAAACCCACAACCCCUCUCGGACCCGAAUCGGCGACGGAGGAGAAGCCCUCCGACGGCGCAACCACGGUGGUUCCCGGUGAGUCCCCUUUCCCUUUUUAUUUUCUAUUUAAUGUACGAAAUAAAGAAAAUAAAAUAAAUAAAUAAAGAAAUGCGAAUCUGAUAUCAAGCCUUGAAUCUAUUUUUUUGAUUGUUUUAUUUAUAUGAAAAUGUUACAAAAGAAAAGAAAAAGCCCCCCGAUUCAGUGAUGAAGCCCCCUCUUACAAUCAAAAUCCCUAUAUUCUACUGCUAUUGUGUCUUUUCUUUUGUAGGUGGAGCAGGUGAGGGCGUCGGUGGCAAGUGGGCAUGGUGAUGGGACGUAUGCGGCGGCCAGCAGAGCUAGGGUGCAGAGGGCUGCAGCGCUAGGGUUUCUUUUCUGAAACCCUAGCUUGACUUUUGGGGAAUUGGGCUCCGAAUUUGGGCCUCGGGUUUGGGUUAGGCUAGUUGGGUUUAUUGUAUUGGGUUGUAACUGGAAUUGGAUCAUUUGGGUUUGGGUGGUUUGGGCUGAGUCUGUUGGGUUAUUGGGCUGAUGUUUGUUAGUUUAGGGUUAAUUGGGCCCAGGCAUAAAAAUUGGGCUUGUACAAUAAAUAUAUAUUUUUUAUUUUUAUUUUUUAAUUUUAAAAUACGUUAAAAAUAUUUUUUUUUAUUUUUAAAAUAUUUUUUUUGUGUUUAUUAAAAAUCGGGCUGGGCCCGGGCUUAUUAUUUUUUUCUCGGGCCGGGCCUGGGAAAAAUUUCAGGCCCAUAUUUCGGGCCGGGCCGGGCCCGGGCCUAAGAGUCGGGCCAAAUUUUUUCCCGGGCCCGGCCCGAACCCGGCCCGGCCCAUGGACAGGUCUAGUGACAGUACAAAUGGGUUUUAAAUGCCAACUACGAUGUCCAAUUAUUAGGACAAAAAUAGGUUUUUAAUUAAAUAAAUUAAAUUUAGACUGCCACGUAGGACCGUCAUAAGGGAGGUAAGAGAGCUUAAUGAUAGAGUGACCAAUUCGUAACAGAACGAUAACAUUAGUGACUAAAACGUAACAUUUCAAACUUAAGUGACUAAAAUGUAAUCUGAAGCAAAUAAAAGUGACUGUUUUAAAGUUUACCCUUAAUGUAAUUAUUGGCGGAUGAUCUGGCCGCACCGACAAACAGCAGAAAUUGAGUCAUUUUCGUAAUUAUUUACAAAAUUUGGGUUACUUUUGUAAAAAAACCAGAGAAGAGAACCUCGCCUCUUCUUAAGAUAGCCGGACACUUUCUAACUUUCCCUUCUUUCAGUUUUUCAUCAACAGGUUUGCCUCUUACCAGAACAUCAAUGGAUGUUAGUGUAAAGAGAUGGAGCAUGAUACGCCCUGCCCAAGAUACUCCUAAAGAAAGGCAAUGGAUUUCAAAUCUGGACAUGGUGAUAACAACAUACCAUGUCCCUUUGCUGUUUUUCUACAAACCAAAUGGCUCCUCUGAUUUCUUUAAGCCUCAAGUGCUACAGGAGGCUUUAAGCAAGACUCUUGUGCAAUUCUAUCCUAUGGCUGGGAGGUUGGGACAUGAUGAAAAUGGUAGGCUCGAGAUAUUAUGCAACGCAGAGGGUGUUCUGUGGAUAGAAGCUGAAACUACAUCGGCCAUGGAUGAUCUCGACGGUUUUACUCCCUGCUCAAAACUGAGGAAACUGGUUCCCACGGCUGAUUACUCUGGAGAUAUCAGUUCUUAUCCGCUUAUUAUGGCUCAGGUAAGUGAAUGAAGAACUAUUAUCUUAUUGUAGAUGAUAACUGUUACUUGCAGUAGGAGACCAAGGAUAAGCUCUGAGAAAACUCAAACAGUCUGAUACUGAAGUUAUAGCACAAGAAAAACUAAGCUAUCAGCUAAGAAGUUGAUAUAUGGCUUUUUUUUCUCAAAACUGACUUAAAAGAAUCGAUUAAUUAUGAAAAUUACCCAGGUAUAAUAUCUUAUAUGAGAAUGACCCGUUUUCUACCGUAAAAAUUGGUACCGCUAGACUAUUUAGCGGUACCGAUAUUUUUGUAAAAGUAUUACCAUCAACAAAUUAUCGAUAUAUACUUUCCAUUCAUCUUCACAAGAAAGUGCUAAUUACGGAGGUCCAUGGUGGUGGCUUAGUAGUGAUGAAGAUGAAACCAAAACCCUUUUCUCUUCAAUGAACCUCUGGUUUGACUCAUUUGUAAUAAUUAUUUUCGCUCGUUGGAUACACCCGCAUUUUAAAUGGAAAACUGUAAUAAUCCUCACCGAAGAAAAGCAAAGAACAAGAUUAAUCAAAGCGAACAAUAUUGUUACAAAUGAGUUAGGAGAGAGGUUCAUUGAAGAGAAAAGGGUUUCGAUUUCAUCUUCUUCACUGCUAAGCCACUGCCAUGGAACUCUUAGACCUUUCUCAUGAAGCUAAACGAUACCAUCAACAAAGUAUAUCCUUUUUACAAAACUAACAUCGGUGCCAACAAUGAGUCCGGCAACAUUCAAAAAAUAUAUUUUUUUAAAAAACAUGGGGUGGUGCUUCAAUGGAAAUGGUGGCACCAAAUUUUAUGAUAGAAAAUGGGUUAUUCUCGUACAAAAUUUUACACUUGAGUCAUUUUUAUAAUUAAUAAAAAUUUUUGGUCAAUUUUGAAAAAAAAAACUUAAUGUUUUUGUUUCGAAAAGGUCAAUUGUUGAGUGUAUAUUUUGCUAGGUAACUACUCUUAAAUGCGGUGGAGUUUGUCUUGGAAUAGCAACUCAUCAUACUUUGACUGAUGGCACAACGACCUUACAUUUCAUUAAUAGUUGGUCUGAAAUGGCAAGAGGCUUGCCCCAAAUUAGCAUGCCACCACUUAUUGACCGAACCCUUCUCCGAGCAAGAGUGCCACCAAUCCCUAGAUUUCAUCAUCUCGAAUAUGACCGACCUCCUUCCUUAUACACCUCUACGUCACUUGGCCCUAAUAACCAUAAACCCUCAACUGUAUCUGUUUUCAAGAUCACACAAAAUCAACUUAAUACCCUAAAAGCCAAGUCAUGGGAACAUGGAAACAAAACCAAUUACAGCACCUACACCAUUCUAGUUGCAUACAUAUGGCGCUGUGCAACUAAAGCUUGGGACCUCUCAUAUGAUCAGCCAACCAAGUUACACAUCCCAACUGAUGGACGCCCCAGACUACAUCCUCCCCUCCCAUCAACGUACUUGGGCAACGCAAUGUUUGCGGCUUCAUUAAUUGCUCUAUCUAGAAAUCUGCAAUCAGAACCGUUUGUAAAUACCCUAGAACGAGUUCAUGGAACAUUGCAAAGGAUGAAUAAUGAGUAUCUAAGAUCAGCUCUUGACUACCUAGAAACACUGCCAGAUAUAACAGUUGCCAGGAGAACACCGGACACUUACCAUUGCCCAAACCUAAGUAUCAACAAAUGGACACGACUGUCUUUAUAUGAUGCAGAUUUUGGAUGGGGUCGACCAAUAUACAUGGGUCCAGCAAACAUUGUCCAUGAAGGAAAAAUAUACAUACUACCAAGUCCAACCAAUGAUGGGAGCUUGUCAUUGGUAGCAUGCCUACAGACUGCUCAUAUGAAACUCUUCGAGAAACAUCUAUACGAAGGCUUGAAGUCAUUUGACAAGAUCAAAGCUCGAUAUUAGUUGUUUGUUCUCUCUAACAAUAUAUGUAUAAACCUAUAAAUCUUCUACUUCUGUUUCUUUAACUAAGACUUUUUGUUUGGAUCCUGUUUAUUUGAAAUUUACCAUCUAAGCUGGCUUGGCGAACAGGUCUUUUAUUGGUAAUUAUUGUACUAUACCUCGAUAAUAGUAGUAUCAUUGAUCGCAAAGAAAUAAUAAAGAAAAAUAAGAAUACACAGAUUUUACGUGGAAAAGUCUUAUUAGGAAAAAAAAUCACGAGCAGAGUAAAAAUUCACUAAUGUUGAAAAAUACUAAUACAAGAAGUUUUUUUGACUACACAUUUUAACGGUUAAAUAACAUUUUUAUAAUCAACGUUUAAUAGAAGAUCGCCCCCACAUAUCCCCCAAAUUUGCAAUUCUAUUUUAUUUCUUUAACAAACAAGUUGCACCUCGAAUUUUUCUGAUUGGAUCAAACGGGGUUCAGAUCAAACAGCUCUAACAACAACUCAAAUUAUUUGUCCAUAACCAUAUUAAAACAAAUACCGAAUAAUUGAAAUAUAUUCAAAAUUUUAAAUUAAAUUAAGUUUGGAUCAAACUCACUGAUGAUAUAUGAUUUACCUAAAGUGAAAUAAGAACUCGAAAAUACAAAAUUUAUGGGUAAAUUUUCAUUUUGGUCACUUAAUUAAAAAAUUAUAAUUUGGUUAUUAAACUAUUCAAAAGUUUUAUUUUAAGUCAUUGGAUUGUUAAAAUUGAUAUUAUAUGACUUUCUUUGUUCACAGUGCAUGCAUCAAUUGAAAGCUCUCUUUUUCCUUCAUUUCUACAGCUCAUUUUCUAUUUUUAUGUAACAACUUUGGACGUCACAAAUUUGCAGACCAAAAUUCAAACAUUUUUUGCUCUGAUUUCCAACAUGGACCAUCAAAUCAAUGUAGAUCUAAAUUAUAUUUUUAUACUCAUUAAUGGGUACUGAUCCACCAUAUCGAUUGUUGAAUCCUUACUUGGAGCUCGUUAGUGGAACUUAAAAAACAACUUAAUAUAUAGCCUAGUGACUUAAAUGAAAAUUUUUGAAUUUAGUGGCCAAACCAAAAACUUUCCUAUAAUUUAAUGACUAAUGGUAUAGUUUACGCACUUCCUCUUGGCCCAAUUGAAGUUUUUGGUACUCCCACACACUAGUAAAAAAGUUUUAAUAGUAGAAAUGUAUGAAAUUUUUAAUAGAAAGUACCAUUUUACUUUUUGAUCUAUAUACAGAGAUUAAUUUGCCAAUUUUUUAAAUAAAUGGGGUAAAAUGUAAUUUGACUUUUAAUAUAAAAAUCUCCAUGGUAUGUUUACCUUGAAAUUAUCAAUAAAAACUAAUAAAUAUAAAAUGAAACAGUUAAUAAUAUAUCAAAUAUCCACGAGGUGAUAGGUGAUUUUAAAAUUUAACAUUUACAACUUAAUGGGCUAGUGACAAGGCCAAGCAAACCAUUAGUGGAUUGGUAACAAAUUUGGUAAUAUUUCAACGAUCCAAUUGUUUAAUAUAUCGAUAUAACUGUAUUUGGUAUGCAUGAAAAUUUUCGAACCGAUCCGAUAUUUCUGACAUAUUGAUCCAAAAUAUUGUAUAUAUUGAACUAUUAAAAGUUUUUAUAUAAAAUAAAUAGUUAGUUUUUUUUUUAAUUUACAUCAAAUUUGACAUGCAUAAUAUGACAAUUGAAUCAUUAAAAUAUGGGUAAACUACACCCAUGGUCACUUUUGUUUACCUUAGGUUACAUUUCAGUCACUUAUGUUUGAAAUGUUACAUUUUAGUCACUUACGUUAUCGUGUUGUAAUAUUUUAGUCACUGAGCCGUUAAUUGCCGUUAAUGGUGUAAUGGUAAGCUGACGUGGCACGUUAAAUCAUCAUUUCAAACAAAAACUUUAGGUUAAAUUAUACAAUUGGUCACCAUAAUUUUUCGUUUUGAGCAAUUUAAUUCUUUUAUGUUCUUUUAACUUUCUUUUUUUUUUCUUUUUUUCUUUUCUCUUCUGCUUCACCCUAUGUUUUUCUACCUUCUUUAUUUCUUUUAACAUACCAGGAAGUCGAAUUGGUAGUGAAGAAAGAAGCAUGAUAUGGGUUUAUGGGUUUUGGUUAUAGGGUUUUGGUUAUAGGCAAAUGAUGACAGUCGACUUCCUACUUCUUUUUUCAUUGCCAAUUCGACUUCCUAAUAUGUUAAAAGAAAUGGGAAAGGUAUGAAAACAGAGGGAGAAACAAAAGAGAAUGAAAAAGAGAGAGGAAAGUUUAAAGAACAUAAAAAAAAUUAAAUUACUAAAAACGAAAAAAAUAUGGGGAUCAAUUGUAUAAUUUAACCUAAAAUUUUGUUUGAAAUGAUGAUUUAACGUGCCACGUCAACUUACCGUUACACCAUUAACGACGAUUAAUGGCUCAGUGACUAAAAUGUUACAACUUGAUAACGUAAAUGACUAAAACGUAACCUAAAGUAAACAAAAGUGACCAUGAGUGUAGUUUACCCUUAAAAUAUUAAUCGUAUAAAAAAAUAAAAUACAUAUUUUAAAUUUAAUAUAAAAAUGUUUAAAAAACACUAAAAUAAAUUAAUAAAAUUCUCAAUGACUUUUGGGUUUAAAUCACAAUUAUCGAAACAGGACAAAUCGAAAAUUAAUUAAUGUAUAAAUUUGGAAUAAGAGGAUUAAUUAUCUCACAAAUUGGUUAAAUCAACCAAUCAGAUCAAUUUUUUUCAUUUUUAAAUUUUUUAAUAAUUUAUUUAAUUAAAUUAAUCAAAUCAAUCAAAUCGGAAUUAGAAUCUAAUUCUAAACACUUUGCUUUGUUAUGUCAAAGCCAUAUGUUUUUUUUACACCUUAUUUAUUCCGCAAAUUAUUGUCCGCACAUGUCAACUCUUUAUCAUCUUUUAAUGACGUGUAUGGUAUAGAUAGCCUAUCUGCAUUUUUUUUUAUUUGCCAAAUUCUUUUAUUAUUCCUUGUAUUAUAAUUAGUUUGUGAAUUUAAUCUCUAUAUUAAAAUAAAAUGUCAAUUUUAGUCCUUAUACUUUUUAGCAUUUAAAAUUUUAAUCCUCCACAAAGAGUAGUAAUUAAAUAUGUUUGUUAAUUUAUGUCGUUAAUCUUUUACACAGUAUAAAGUUAUUCCACGUUCUCUAAUUUGAUCAUUCAUAAUCCUUAUAUUUUUUGAAUUUUUAAAUUUUAACAAGCUGAUAUGAUAUUACAUAUAUGAUAAUAUUUUUGACGUAUAAGAUUUUGAAAAUAAUAAAACUACUUAAUGAAUUUAAUGGUUAUCGUUUAUAUCAAGAUUGAAAUUUCAAAAUUAGAAAAAUAUACGGACUAAAAUGAUUAAAUUAAAGUACAUAGACUAAAUUUAUAACUUGUCUAUUGCACAAGUACUAAUAGCAAGAUUUAACCUAUUUUUACAUUUAAAUAUGUAAAAGUAUCACCCAUCCACUGCCUUCCAAGAGAGAAGAUAAGCGUUUUUUUAGCAAUAAAAGAAAUAAUAAUUACCUGAUAAAUUAUUUUAUGGACAUUUUUCACGAUAUCUUCCAUGAUCCCGUCCUAUUAGAAGAUGACACAUCAUCUUUUUUUGACACAUCAUAUGUACAUUUAGACUAAACUCCCAAAUGAAAGAUGAAGUGUCUUGUUUUAAUUGGGAGGAACUAUGGAUGAUGGGGUGGAAAAUGUCUAUAAAAUAAUUUCUCAUUAUUACCUUGUCUUCGAACACAAAAACACAAGCAUUAGCAUACAGAUUUUGCCCAUCCGCUACCUCCCAAUAGACAAGAUAGGUUUUUUUUUAAUUAACUCAAUUUUUUUGAUUAAUUACGAAAAUAAUCAACUUAAAAAUUACAUACGUAAAUGAUUUGAUUUUUACAGUGUUUGUCGAUGCUUCCAGACACAUCGGCGGCACAAGUCUCAUCAUCGACCAAUAAUUGUAUUAUUUUAAAGAUUUUCAAUUCAUUCCCUAACAUAUUUAAAUUUAUAUAAAUUGAGAUAAUUUUUUGAAGGAUAUAUUUGGGUAAUUUAAAUAAGACUUUUAACUUUAUUGUUUCUAAAAAAAUAAAAAUAAUUUAUUUUUGUUAUUCUUAUAUUUUUAAGGGCUAUUUAAAUAUAAUUUUAAAAAUAUAUAUACUUAACACGCAAAUAAAUAAAAAAUUAACAAGCAUCAAAUUUGGUGCCGACAUGGUGCACUAAAAAGUUAUUAUUUUCUGGGUAAAUUACAGUAAUAGUCACUUUUAUUUACCUCAUUAUAUUUUAGUUAUUUAUGUUUGAAAUAUUACAUUUUAGUCACUUACGUUAUCAUUUUGUUAUUAAGUGGUCACUCCACCGUUAAACUUCGUUACCUCUCUAACGGUAGUCCUACGCGACAGUACAAAUGGGUUUUAAAUACCAACUACGAUGUUCAAUUGUUGGGACGAAAAUAGGUUUUUAAUUAAAUAAAUUUAAUUUAGACUGCCACGUAAGACCAUCAUUAGGGAGGUAAGAGAGCUUAAUGAUAGAGUAACCAAUUCGUAAUAAAAUGAUAACAUAAGUGACUAAAAUGUAAUAUUUUAAACUUAAGUGACUAAAAUAUAAUCUGAAGCAAAUAAAAGUGACUGAUUUAUAGUUUACCCUUAAUGUAAUUAUUGGCGGAUGAUCUGGCCGCACCGACAAACAGUAGAAAUUGAGUCAUUUUCGUAAUUAUUCACAAAAUUUGGGUUACUUUUAUAAAAACCCGAAAAGAGAACCUCGCCUUUGCUUAAGAUAGACGAGCACUUUCUGACCUUCCCUUCUGUUGGGUUUUCAUCAACAGGUUUGCCUCUUAAUUACCAGAACAUCAAUGGAUGUUAGUGUAAAGAGAUGGAGCAUGAUACGCCCUGCUCAAGAUACUCCUAAAGAAAGGCAAUGGAUUUCAAAUCUGGACGUGGUGAGGCCAACAUUCCAUGUCCCUUUGCUGUUUUUCUACAAACCAAAUGGCUCCUCUGACUUCUUCAAGCGUCAAGUGCUACAGGAGGCUUUAAGCAAGACUCUUGUGCAAUUCUAUCCUAUGGCUGGGAGGUUGGGACGUGAUGAAAAUGGUAGGCUCGAGAUAUUAUGCAACGCAGACGGUGUUCUGUGGAUAGAAGCUGAAACUACAUCGGCCAUGGAUGAUCUCGACGGUUUUACUCCCUGCUCAAAACUGAGGAAACUGGUUCCCACGGCUGAUUACUCUGGAGAUAUCAGUUCUUAUCCGCUUAUUAUGGCUCAGGUAAGUGAAUGAAGAACUAUUAUCUUAUUGUAGAUGAUAACUGUUACUUGCAGUAGGAGACCAAGGAUAGGUUCUGAGAAAACUCAAACAGCCUGAUACUGAAGUUAAAGCACAAGAAAAACUAAGCUAUCAGCUAAGAAGUUCAUAUAUACACGAGAAUGACCCGUUCUCUACCGUAAAAGUCGGUGCCGCUAGACUAAUUAGUGACACCAAUAUUUUUGUAAAAGUAUUACCAUCAACAAAGUAUCGAUACUUUCCGUUCAUCUUCACAAGAAAGUGCUAAUUAUGGAGGUCCACGGUGGUGGCUUAGUAGUGAAGAAGAUGAAACCAAAACCCUUUUCUCUUUAAUGGAUCUCUGGUUUGACUCAUUUGUAAUAAUCAUUUUCGUUCGUCGAAUACGACCGCAUUUUAAAUGGAAAACUGUAAUAAUGAUCCUCACUGAAGAAAAGCAAAGAACAAGAUUAAUCAAAGCGAACAAGAUUAUUACAAAUAGACCUGUACAUAGGCCGGGCCGGGUCGGGUUCGGGCUAGGCUCACAAAAAUUUCAGCCCGUUUACUAGGCCCGGGCCAGGCCCGGCCCGAAAUAUAGACAUGAGAUUUUGCCUAGGCCCGGCCCGAAGAAAAAAUAUGGGGCCCGAGCCCGGCCCGUUUUUAAUUAAAAUUAAAAUUAUUUUUUUAAUAAAAUUAAAAUUAAUUGCUAUUAAAAUUAAUUGUUAGUAAAAUUAUCAAAUUAUUAAUUGUUAAUUGUAUUAAUUGUUGUAAUAAAAUCUAACAUUUGAUUAGUAAAUUUAUCAAAUUAUUAAUUGUAUUAAUUGUUGUAACAAAAUCUAACAUUUGAUUAGUAAAACAAACUUGAUGUUUUAUUAUUAUUAUUUUGUAACACUAGUCAAGGAAAUGAAAGUAAAUAAACUUAAAAUAAAAAACUAUUACAUUUUAAAAAUAAAAAAUAUAUAUUUAAUAUUUUUCGGGCCGGGCCGGGCCGAGCCCGGGCCAAAAAAUCUUGCCCGAGGCCUGGCCCAUUUUUUAAACGAGCCUAAAAUUUUGCCCAAUCCCAUAUUUCGGGCAUAUAUUUUACCCAAACCCUCCCAUAUUUUGGGCGGGCCGUCGGGCCGGGCCGGGCCGCCCGGCCCAUGGACAGGUCUAAUUACAAAUGAGCCGGGCGAGAGGUUAAUUGAAGAGAAAAUGGUUUCAAUUUCAUCUUCUUAACUGCUAAGCCACCACCAUGGAACCCUUAGCACUUUUUCGUGAAGCUAAAUGAUACCAUCAACAAAGUAUUGAUCCUUUUUACAAAACUGGCAUUGGUGCCACCAAUGAGUCCGGCGACAUUCAAAACAAAUAUAUUUUUAAAAAACAUGGGGUGGUGCCUUCAAUGGGAAUGAUGGCACCAAAUUUUAUGAUAGAAAAUGGGUUAUUCUUGUACAAGAUUUUACACUUAGUCAUUUUUUAUAAUUAAUCAAUCUUUUUUGGUCAAUUUAAAAAAAAAACCUUAAUAUUUUUGUUUCAAAAAGGUCAAUUAUUGAGUGUAUAUUUUGCUAGGUAACUACUCUUAAAUGCGGUGGAGUCUGUCUUGGAAUAGCUACUCAUUGUACUUUGGCUGAUGGCACAACGACCUUUCAUUUCAUUAAUAGUUGGUCUGAAAUGGCAAGAGGCCUGCCCCAAAUUAGCAUGCCACCACUUAUUAACCGAACCCUUCUCCAAGCAAGAGUGCCACCAAUCCCUAAAUUUCAUCAUCUCGAAUGUGACCUACCUCCUUCUUUAAACACCUCUACGUCACUUGGCCCUAAUAACCAUAAACCCUCAACUAUAUCUAUUUUCAAGAUCACACAAAAUCAACUUAAUACCCUAAAAGCCAAGUCAUGGGAACAUGGAAACAAAACCAAUUACAGCACCUACACCAUUCUAGCUGCAU
rnacentral:lncRNA from 1 species